GAUAUCAGGGGGACACCAAAGGCGAAAGCAGCUUACUGGCUUUGUUCGGACACUGAGGAACGAAAGCGUGGCUAACGAAGGGGAUUAGAUACCCGCCGUAGUCCACGCCCUAAACGAUGGAUACUAGACACAGGGAGAGUCGACCCUUUCCGUGUCGAAGCUAACGCGUUAAGUAUCCCGCCUGGGGAGUACGGGCCGCAAGGCUGAAACUCAAAAGAAUUGACGGGGACCCGCACAAGCGGUGGAGCAUGUGGUUUAAUUCGACAAUAAACGAAGAACCUUACCAAGGUUAGAAAUCCUACUGCAAGCCUUUAGAAAUAAAGGAAGCCUUCGAGGGUGUAGGACAGGUGCUGCAUGGCUGCCGUCAGCUCGUGCCGUGAGGUGUUCGGUUAAGUCCGGUAACGAGCGCAACCCUUGUCCUGUGUUAUAUUUCACACAGGAGACUGCCGGCGUAUAGUCGGAGGAAGGUGAGGAUGACGUCAAGUCCGCAUGGCCCUUGAUACCUUGGGCCACACACGUGCUACAAUGGGAAGAACAAAGGGAAGCUAAGCCGUAAGGUGGAGCAAAUCCCAUCAAAUCUUCUCUCAGUUCGGAUAGAGGUCUGCAAUUCGACCUCUUGAAGCUGGAAUCGCUAGUAACCGCUGGCUCAGCUAUACCACGGUGAAUACGUUCUCGGGUCUUGUACACACCGCCCGUCACGUCAAGCGAGUUGGUAAUAC
rnacentral:rRNA from 1 species